AAACCGCCUCCUAAGUUUUGCAACUGUAGCAGUUUUGGUCCCCCAAGGCCAAAAAAAAUAACACGUGGCACCUCACUUAGGGUCCCAUGUCAGCGUAGAUCGAGUCAAAAUUGGUCUUGGGGGCCAAAACUGCUACAAGUGCAAAACUUAGGGCGCAGUUU
rnacentral:pre_miRNA from 1 species